CUCCUGAAGCAGAAGGACAGGCUUGUACAAAAGGUCCAGAAGAACUGCGACAUUGUCACAGCUUGUUUACAGGCAGUUUCCCAGAAACGCUCAUGACAGUUACAGAAAUGUUCAGGAAAGUGGUGGAUUCCUCCAUGUUGGAUGCUUUUAAGAUUUGGCUGGACAGGAUGCUGGACCAUUUUGCCUAGACCAUGCUUUUGUUGAGAAAAGUUGAUGAUCCCUGAGGUCCCUUCCAAGCUGAUAUUCUGAGAUUUGGUGAGUGAUUUCACCCUGGAUCA